rnacentral:misc_RNA from 1 species
GAUGAAGAACGCAGCGAAAUGCGAUAAGUAAUGCGAAUUGCAGAAUUCAGUGAAUCAUCGAGUCUUUGAACGCACAUUGCGCCCCCUGGUAUUCCGGGGGGCAUGCCUGUCCGAGCGUCAUUGCUGCCCUCAAGCACGGCUUGUGUGUUGGGCUCCGUCCCCCCGGGGACGGGCCCGAAAGGCAGCGGCGGCACCGAGUCCGGUCCUCGAGCGUAUGGGGCUUUGUCACCCGCUCUGUAGGCCCGGCCGGCGCCAGCCGACAACCCAUCAUCCUUUUCAGGUUGACCUCGGAUCAGGUAGGGAUACCCGCUGAACUUAAGCAUAUCAAUAAGCGGAGGA